rnacentral:tRNA from 1 species
AAUAAGUUGGCAGAGCAUUGCACCCGACUUAGGAUCGGAACACGGAUAAGAACCACUUAUUA